rnacentral:lncRNA from 1 species
UUUUUCCUGGAAAAACUAAAAACUUUCAAUUGUUUUUUCUAACAUUUUUGGAAUAUUUGAAACCUUCCGAAUCGUUUGGUACCACUGGAAAAGUCGUACGACUUAUAGGUUCCAAGCUACGCGCCUUCAAAGUUUCUUAUUAAAUUCCAAAAAUUGGUCAACUUUGGAAUUUUUUCCUGGAAAAACCAAAAACUUUCAAUUGUUUUUUCUGACAUUUUUGGAAUAUUUGGAACCUUCCGAAUCGUUUGGUACCACUGGAAAAGUCGUACGACUUAUAGGUUCCAAGCUACGCGCCUUCAAAGUUUCUUAUUAAAUUCCGAAAAUUGGUCAACUUUGGAAUUUUUUCCUGGAAAAACUAAAAACUUUCAAUUGUUUUUUCUAACAUUUUUGAAAUAUUUGGAACCUUCCGAAUCGUUUGGUACCACUGGAAAAGUCGUACGACUUAUAGGUUCCAAGCUACGCGCCUUCAAAGUUUCUUAUUAAAUUCCAAAAAUUGGUCAACUUUGGAAUUUUUUUCUGGAAAAACUAAAAACUUUCAAUUGUUUUUUCGGACAUUUUUGGAAUAUUUGGAACCUUCCGAAUCGUUUGGUACCACUGGAAAAGUCGUACGACUUGUAGGUUCCAAGCUACGCGCCUUCAAAGUUUCUUAUUAAAUUCCAAAAAUUGGUCAACUUUGGAAUUUUUUCCUGGAAAAACUAAAAACUUUCAAUUGUUUUUUCGGACAUUUUUGGAAUAUUUGGAGUCUUCCGAAUCGUUUGGUACCACUGGAAAAGUCGUGCGACUUAUAGGUUCCAAUAAUAAUAUAAAAGAAACUUACGUGGUGCCUUUCUGAAACUCCGACAACACAUCCAAGUCGGCAAACUCUCUUUGGUGAGACUCCGCCUCUCCACCCCUUUUGCACACCCUCGCGUACUCUUCACCCCUCCUCACCGGAUCAUCAGUCGGCAACUGUUUCCUGGGCGACCCUCCUACGGACAACGUUGCCAAAUCGUUCGCCACCGCUGCCAAAGUUUCCGCACUAAUAACGGCGGCCGCGUCCUUUUUCGGGGGCGACGUUGCCGCCUUUUUCGACCCCAAAUUGUAGUUCAAACCGCGAUUCGAAAUGUCCCCCUGCACAUUAAACGCGCCCUUGGCCCCGCCGUACGUUUGAAUUUUCCGCAUAAUUUCGCGCUCGAGGUCGUCGCUUUGGUUCAUCAUAGGGGGCGGCACGGGGGGUGAGUAAAAGGGGCGGCUCACUUCCGCCAACACCUUGGAAGUGUCAAAAGGAUCCUCCGAGGGAUUGGCCAGGGAGGCGGUGUUGUAGUAGGCGGGCGGGUUGUUGUAAGGCGGGGGCGGCGAGGCACUUGGCAACACUGGAUCUGUAAAUUGAUUUUUUUUUUACCAAAAUUUUAAUUAAUUAAAUUAAAGUGUUAUAAACAGUCGAAAUAAAAAGACACUCACCGUUAAAACCGCCCUCCUGGGGCACGUCAAUCGGCUCGUCCAAUAAACUAACGGGGGCGGCGUCCUGCUGCCGCCUCAACACGAAAUCCCGCCCCUCGGGGGGCGUCACGUCGACCAACACGGGGGGCUGGGGCGGCCUCUGGGGCCUCCCGCCCUUCACCUCCUCCUCCCUCAACUUCUUAUAGUUGAACUGUCUCUCCACCUGCGCCUGCUUCAAGGGCCCCACAUUAAGACUCCGCACGACGUUCGAACGCGGCUUCGAGGUCGCGCUUCGAUGCACGACUCCGCCCCCCAUCAAGUCGGGGGGCUCCAUCGGGUUUUUAAGGUACAUGUCGUCGAUCUGAGCGGGGCUGCCCCAACUCUCCCCGAAAGCCGACCCGUGGCCCGUGUGAAUGAACGAGUGGUCCAGCGGUUUGCUGAUGUCCUCGGGCUGUUUGGGGCGCAACGGGUCCACUAGGCAUCUGGAAGUUUACAUGCUUAUGUAGAAAAAUGUUUUCUGAAUAUUUUGCGGUUUAUUUGAUGAGUCUAGGACCGGUAGAACAGGAGAAAAUUGGAUUUUUGUGCCACUGAGCCGGAAAAUCAAAUUAUUCGAAGUAAAGGUCAAUAGCUCCUAAAGUUCUACUCCAAUCACCCAAAACCCUUAACAAACUUUGUAGAACCAUGUUUCCUUAAGACUCUACAGUUGGUUUCAUUCAUCUACACCCAGUAGACACAGAGAAAUUUCAAUUCUUGUGAUGCCUGGACUAGAAAUUUAAUUUUUCAGAUUAGAGGCCAAUAGCACCAAAGGUUCUACUACAAUCACUUAAGACCCUUAACAAACUUUGUAGAACCAUGUUUCCUUAAGACUCUACAGUUGGUUUCAUUCAUCUACACCCAGUAGACACAAAGAAAUUUCAAUUCUUGGGAUGCCUGGACUAGAAAUUUAAUUUUUCAGAUUAGAGGCCAAUAGCACCAAAGGUCCUACUCCAAUCACCCAAAACCCUUAACAAACUUUGUAGAGGCAUGUUUUCUAAAGACUCUACAGUUGGUUUCAUUCAUCUAGACCCAGUAGACACAGAGAAAUUUCAAUUCUUGGGAUGCCUGGACUAGAAAUUUAAUUUUUCAGUUUAGAGGCCAAUAGCACCAAAGGUUCUACUCCAAUCACCCAAAACCCUUAACAAACUUUGUAGAAGCAUGUUUCCUUAAGACUCUACAGUUGGUUUUAUUCAUCUACACCCAGUAGACCCAGAGAAAUUUCAAUUCUUGGGAUGCCUGGACUAGAAAUUUAAUUUUUCAGUUUAGAGGCCAAUAGCACCAAAGGUCCUACUCCAAUCACCCAAAACCCUUAACAAACUUUGUAGAACCAUGUUUUCUUAAGACUCUACAGUUGGUUUUAUUCAUCUACACCCAGUAGACCCAGAGAAAUUUCAAUUCUUGGGAUGCCUGGACUAGAAAUUUAAUUUUUCAGAUUAGAGGCCAAUAGCACCAAAGGUCCUACUCCAAUCACCCAAAACCCUUAACAAACUUUGUAGAACCAUGUUUUCUAAAGACUCUACAGUUGGUUUCAUUCAUCUACACCCAGUAGACCCAGAGAAAUUUCAAUUCUUGGGAUGCCUGGACUAGAAAUUUAAUUUUUCUGAUUAGAGGUC